ACAAAUCAAUAAGGAAAAGGCAAACCACCCAGAAGAUAGAUGAGCAAGGAAUAUAGACAGGCACUUCGUAAAGGGAAACAUACAAGCAGCAGCUGGAAGCCUCUAGAAAGAGCAGCAGAAGGACCCAGUAAGCUUGAGAGUGAUCACCUGGAGUGACCUCCAGGGGACCUCCCACCUCACGAGUGAUCAUAGCAUGACAAAUUAAAGCAGGAGAUAGCAUUUUGUUGUGAUCUGGGUGAAAAAUGCAAACGACGUGUAAUUCUUUGUCCACAGUGUAGAGAAGGGGCAGGCAUUCACUGUUGGUAGUAAUGUUGGCAUGUUUUUGGAGGGUAGUGAGGCAGUAUUGAUUAAAAUGGUAAAUGCCUAUGCCAUUUGACCAAACAAUUCCACUUUUAGGAAUCUAUUCUACAGAGUUAUUUCCAUGAGUAUAUAAGGCUGUAGCUACAAGGAUACACAUGGCACUGUUGUUUGUAACAGCAACAAAUGGGGAACAGCACAAAUGUCCCAUGGGCAUGGGGUUGGCUGGAUACAUCCCAGUAAAUAUGUCCACACAACACAGAACAAUUCUGCUAUUAAACGUGGUAGAGUAGCCCUCUAUUUACUGACAUGGGAAGGUAGUCAUGACUCACUGCUGAGUGAAAAAGGCAUAUAAGAAAACAUCAGGCUGGGUGCGGUGGCUCACGUCUGUAAUCCCAGCACUUUGGGAGGCCGAGGCGGGCAGAUCACAAAGUCAGGAGAUCGAGACCAUCCUGGCUGACACGGUGAAACCCCGUCUCUACUAAAAAUACAAAAAAAAAUUAGCUGGGCAUGGUGGCGGGCGCCUGUAGUCUCAGCUACUUGGGAGGCUGAGGCAGGAGAAUGACAUGAACCUGGGAGGCAGAGCUUGCAGUGAGCCGAGAUCGCACCACUGCACUCCAGCCUGGGUGACAGAGCAAGACUCUGUCUCAAAAAAAAAAAAAGAAAAGAAAACAUCAGGUACGAUCAGUGGUGUUUUAUUAAACUAAAUUUUUAAAUUGUGCUUACAGACAUAAAAUUGUGGAAGAGAGAUCAUCAGAUUAUUUGCAGGAAGACAUCUUAGUGGAAGUUGGACAGUUGGAGAGAGCUGCUUUGGUUGUGUGCCUAUGUGUGAGUGAGUUGGGGAGAAUUACUUUGGUGUGUGGGCCUGUGUGUGAGUGAGUUGUGCAGAGUCGCUUUGGUGUGUGGGCCUGUGUGUGAGUGAGUUGGGAAGAAUUGCUUUGUGUGUCUGUGAGUGAGUGUGUCUGUGUGUGUGUUGUGUUGCUUUUCAGAGUUAUUCAACUCUUAUAAAAAUGUCUUUAUUUUCUAAGAAAGAAAUAGUUGUUAUCACUUUGAAAAUAUGAUCCAUGAUUGUGUUUUAAAACUAUAUAUAUGGCCAUGUUGUAACAUUUUUUAAAAAGACCAUCUGCAGAGCAAGGUGCUUCAGUGAUUAUCUCAGCACGAGGAAAUCACUUCAUUUUUUGUGUGCUUAACUGUACAUUCUCAAUUUUUGCCAUGGAAAUGCAUUAUGUUUGUAAUCAUAAAAGAACACACUUACUGGGUGAAGAGGAAGGACCCUGACACAUGUACUAAGAAGACAGCAUGGGCCCACGCAUCUGACCACGUGACUGGUGUCACGUGCUUGACCAGCUGUUUAUCAGCUUCGCCUCUCCACUUGCAGGGCAGCUGAGCACAAAUACUCCAGGGGACACAGUGGGCCCAGCACCCCGGCCACAUGUGAUGGAGCCUCCAGGCCUGCCCAGCACCUACUGCCCUGGGACAGGCUCUCUUUCAAGUCAGCUCCUCUGUCCAGGAAGCAUCUGAGAGGCCCUGUGGUCCUGGCCAAGGAGGCAGGCCGUAAGGAGGGCAGGCCCGAGGACGUAGGUGUGGCAACACUCCGUGUGGAGUAGUCUCUGAGGCCAGACCUGCGGUUCCUGUUUCCUGUGCCCUGGGGACCCAGAGAAAGAAGACGGAUGGGCGCUGCAGUGGGGCGGAGCAGGCCUGAGCCCAGCUCGAGGAAAGCUUGCCUUCUCGUCUAGUGUCCCCGUGUUUUACAUAAUUAGGUAAUGACGCCGCCUCGCAGCUCCUCCAGAAGGUAAAGACGGGAUUACGGGACACCUGGCACACAGCCUGGCGGAUGGCACUCACUGCUGUUUUCCUCCGUGACAGAGAACCGCAGAACUUCCUUCACAGUUGGCGAGCUAUUCAGAAAUGAUACCCGAGUCCGAGGCUCGGCCUUCACUCGCUCCAAGCUCCGGUGGCACCUGCAGCCACCUGUAGGGUGUGCCUUUUCCUCUAGUAUUAUUGGAAAUAAGAUAGACAAUCAAGUGUUCACUUCCUAAGGAUGUAUGGAGCUGUCGGCAAAUCAUUAAUCUCUCUUUAAACCACGGUGACAAUAUUUACAUUUAAGAUCAAGAUGAUGAUUAUCUGAAGAACUCCCCUGGAAGCUCUUCUCACAACUGGAAAAACACAGCAGCCAGUUAGCAGAGCCACGUCCCAGGCCAAAAUAACUGCCUGACAGUCCACGGGGCCAGGAGUCUACAGGGUGUUGGCGUGGGGAGGCGUGCUUCCCGCAGAGGCUGGAGGGCUGCUGUUGGCAGAGUAGAUGGAGCUGCUCGGGGCACAGCAUUCUGGCCCAACCUUGCAGGAAUGUGGUUCUGACAAACCAGCUGGAGAAAAGCAUUUCUGAAAAGAACUGUUUUAAGUUAUUA
rnacentral:lncRNA from 1 species